AUUGCUUUUUAAGUCAGUUGAUCAAAACUAUAGGAAAAUGUUAAUAUGAACCACGCAAGCAAGCAAGAGUUUCCUAAAAAUUGACGCACUGAUUCAUUCAGGGUGUAUGGGCUCAAACAGGUUCCAACGAGAAAUUCUUCACUGGAAAUUGGUAAAAUCUAAUAAGGAGGUAUACUUUGUUGGAUAUAGAAGCAAAUGAGUUUUGUUAUGAAGACUGGUUCCUUCAAGAGGAAUUCUCAUGGUAGUGCAGCCUCUUAUUGGAAAUAAGUGUUGAUUCGUGAUCCUGAGGAAUACUUUGUUGGAGGGAUUUGUUCUGCCUGCUUGAAGCUGAUAUCGGUGUUGUAAUCUCUCCAAAGGUAGAAAAUAAGUGUUGUGUCAAUUUUGUUCCUCUCCUCCCUGGCGUCGUGAAUGAACUGAGAGAAUGUAUCAGAACAACUAAUCAUCUGGCUGGAAGGGUAUAUCUAGAGUUCUUUGGUUAGCUUGAACCGCAGUAGACCAAAGAGAUCUUAUAAUUCCUGUAAUUUUUCAAAAUCAAUUCAUCGUUAAACCACUUUUAAACUGUGGAAUUCUGAGAAGGCAUGUGCUCCUGAAGAAAACCCACACCAAAAGUUUGAGGGACGGACCGUACUCUCGGGGGAAAUGUUGAUCGAGUCUUACAGCCUUUCUGCUUAUUUUUUUGGUAGAUGUAAUUUUGCUUUGUUGAUUUCUGUUAUGCACUUAUUUUGAUCUGACUGUUGAAAUUGUUCAUGUCAUGGUAAUAUGGGAUUAUGUUAUAACGCGAAUUUAGGGUUAUGUAACUUGGGUUGACUCAACAAC